GCACACCAUUCCACCUCUUCCAAAUGGUAUUAGUUGGGGAUAUUAGAAACAUCCGCUGGUUAGCAAUCUUUUUUAUUGAAAUUUAUUAAGAUUUUCUCGAACAAGUGGGUCUCGAUUAGUACUGCAAUUUUCUAUACAAUCACGAGGGAUUGCGAUUGGUACUUCUAUUUGUUUGUAAUAAAGUACUUCAAACACAAGGAUUGAUUAAAAAGUAAAAGAUUGAUUUAGAGGUCUUAGGUUGAACAAAUAUCUCAAUUGUUCUACAAAUUAUGCAUUUAGUACUCACAGAUAUGCUUUAAGUUGAUGCCUUAUAACUUUGUAUUGAACUUACUCACAUCUUACCUGCAAACUUCAACCUUCUCCUAUUUCUCUAUGCUCUCUUUCAUAUUCCAUGGACAUCCAGCACUCAUCGCACCAACAAAAGACUCCCACCUGAAGCCGGCGGUGCUUUGCCAGUCAUAGGCCACCUCCAUAUACUAAGUACAACCGAGCCAACCGAAAGGAGCAUGACUUUAUGGAUGGGAUGCUCUCUACUAUCAACCACGCCGGAGAGUUGGCUGGUUUUGAUGUCGAGACGGUCACCAAAGCCACUUGUUUGAACGUGAUAUUGGGUGGAAGUGACACUAUAUUGACAACUAUGACAUGGGUUCUUUCUCUACUCCUCAACAACUAAGAAGCAUCGAAGAAGACCCAACUUGAAUCGGAUGAAAAAAUCGGAAGAUCGAGAUAACGUCAACAAUUUACCAUAUCUCCAAGCUAUUGUGAAGGAGACGUUGCAUUUGUAUCCUGUAAUGUCGUUCUUGUUCCCUCAUGAAUCUGUAGAAGAUUGUACGGUUUCAGACUAUCACAUCCCUACGAAGACACGUUUAAUAGUGAAUCUUCAAAAGCUACAAUUAGACCCAAAUGUAUGGGAAAUUCCUUAUGAAUUUCGAGCAUAAAGGUUUUUAAUGAACCACACAAAGUUUGAUAUGAGA